rnacentral:rRNA from 1 species
AUACGGAGGAUCCGAGCGUUAUCCGGAUUUAUUGGGUUUAAAGGGUGCGCAGGCGGCCAUUUAAGUCAGCGGUUAAAUCGUGGGGCUCAACCCCAUUCUGCCGUUGAUACUGGGUGGCUUGAUUGCGGUAGAGGUUGGCGGCAAUCGUUGUGUAGCGGGGAAAUGCAUAGAUAUGACGAAGAACACCGAUUGCGUAGGCAGCUGACCAGACCGCAAAUGACGCUCAUGCACGAAAGUGCGGGGAUCGAACAGGAUUAGAUGCCCUGGUAGUCCGCACAGUAAACGAUGAAUACUUGUUUUCGGCGAUAUAAUGUCGGAGGCAAAGCGAAAGCGAUAAGUAUUCCACCUGGGGAGUACGCCGGCAACGGUGAAACUCAAAUGAAUUGACGGGG